rnacentral:rRNA from 1 species
UACAGAGGGUGCGAGCGUUGUCCGGAAUUACUGGGCGUAAAGGGCGCGUAGGUGGUGGCUUAAGCGUGCGGUGAAAGCUCGGGGCUCAACUCCGAGUCGGCCGUGCGAACUGGGCUCACUGGAGCAUAGUAGAGGCAGGUGGAAUUCCGGGUGUAGCGGUGGAAUGCGUAGAGAUCCGGAAGAACACCGGUGGCGAAGGCGGCCUGCUGGGCUAUGGCUGACACUGAGGCGCGACAGCGUGGGGAGCAAACAGG